AAAUUCUGGCCCUUCGCACCUGGCCCAUUCUCUAGUAGGGUGCGUGCUGGUGUGCGGGGGUCAUCGUUCUGAAGGGCAAUGCCGUCCUUGAUUGGGCGUGUUUUGUUGUUCAGAUCAUUUACUGUGAGUAAAUCAGAGUGUUCAAAGCAGGCAGCAAUGCUUGUAUGGUUCAGCAUGGAAUAAUAAGAUAAGACUUCGGUUUUAUUUUGUUGGCUAUAAAACCAAAGUAAUGAUUGAAAGGGAUAGUUGGGGGUGCUAGUAUUCAGUGGUCAGCGGUGAAAUGCGAGGACCCAUUGAAGACUAACUUAUGCGAAAGCAUU
rnacentral:rRNA from 1 species